rnacentral:rRNA from 1 species
CAGUAGCCGCGGGAAUACGUGGGGUGCAAGCGUUAAUCGGAAUUACUGGGCGUAAAGCGUGCGCAGGCGGUUCGUUAAGACAGAUGUGAAAUCCCCGGGCUUAACCUGGGAACUGCAUUUGUGACUGGCGGGCUAGAGUAUGGUAGAGGGGGGUAGAAUUCCACGUGUAGCAGUGAAAUGCGUAGAGAUGUGGAGGAAUACCGAUGGCGAAGGCAGCCCCCUGGGCCAAUACUGACGCUCAUGCACGAAAGCGUGGGGAGCAAACAGGAUUAGAUACCCCAGUAGUCCCUGUCUCUUAUAA